GGGUGACCAACUGUCUUGGUUUGCCCGGGACUGAGGAGUUACCCAGGACAUAGGACUUUCAGUGCUA
rnacentral:miRNA from 1 species